rnacentral:rRNA from 1 species
CACGUAGUUAGCCGUGGCUUUCUGGUUAAGUACCGUCAUCUCAAGGCCAGUUACUACCUCAAGUGUUCCUCCUUAACAACAGAGUUUUACGAGCCGAAACCCUUCAUCACUCACGCGGCGUUGCUCCGUCAGACUUGCGUCCAUUGCGGAAGAUUCCCUACUGCUGCCUCCCGUAGGAGUCUGGGCCGUGUCUCAGUCCCAGUGUGGCCGAUCACCCUCUCAGGUCGGCUAUGCAUCGUCGCCUUGGUGAGCCACUAUCUCACCAACUAGCUAAUGCACCGCAGGCCCAUCCAUGAGCGGCAGAUAAAUCCGCCUUUAAACUUAACUGCUUAUGCAGGAAAGUCGUAUCCGGUAUUAGCUACCGUUUCCGGUAGUUAUCCCAAUCUCAAGGGUAGGUUGCCUACGUGUUACUCACCCGUCCGCCGCUCGAUCAUGAGGAGCAAGCUCCUCAAUCUCGCGCUCGACUUGCAUGUAUUAGGCACGCCGCC